CAUACUCAUGUACACACAUAAUAAGCAUAGAAUAUGGAAAUCAAUUAUUUUUAUGACUCGAUUUUGUGGUCCCGAAACCACUUCCCGACUAGGGUCAAUUUUGGGCUGUUACAACAUAUAUACACUUUCACAUUCAUCACAUCGACUAUUAGGCCUUAUCACAUAUAUACACUUUCACAUUCAUCACGGGAAUGCAGCCCUAAUCGGGCGGUAAAUUCUGUCCAAGGCUAAAUACUGGCGAGAGACCGAUAGCGAACAAGUACCGUGAGGGAAAGAUGAAAAGAACUUUGAAAAGAGAGUCAAAGAGUGCUUGAAAUUGUCGGGAGGGAAGUAGAAGGGGUCCGACGAUGCGCCCCUGUCGGAUGUGGAACGGCGACAGCUAGUCAAGCUGAUCAGCUUGGGGCGUAGACCGAUGCGGGUCAUGGCGGUGGCCCAAGCCUGGGCUUUUGAUACGCCUGUGGAGACACCGUCGCCUCGAUCGUAGGAUCCAGCACGCGCCAUCUCAGCGUGCUUCGGCACCUGCGUGCUUCAGGCGUCGGCCUGCGGGCUCCCCAUUUGGCCCGUCUUGAAAUAGG
rnacentral:ncRNA from 1 species